rnacentral:lncRNA from 1 species
CAAGCAAUAAAAAAAUCUUAAGAUAUCCUAAAAGGUACAAUUGGAUAUGACUUAAAUUAUUCCAAAACUAAUCUAUUUCAAUUGGUUGGAUAUACCGAUAGUGAUUGAGAUAGAGAUUAAGAUAAAAGAAAAAGUAUCUCAUAAUAUAUCUUCUACUGAAGAAUUAUUGCUUUUAUUUGAUCUCAAAAAAAUAUUAAAUUGUAGCACUAUUUUCAUAUGAGGUAGAAUAUGUUGCAGCUGCAUCAAAUGUUCAUGAAGCUAUAUGGCUCAGAAAUUUAUUAGCAAAAUUAAGUCAUCCACAAGAAGAUUCAACUAUAUUUUUUGUUGAUAACAAGUGAAUGAUCGAGUUAGCAAAAAAUCCUAUCCAACA